AAGAAAGCACUUGUUCUUACUGCUGCUAACAGGGAGACCAUGUUCUGUGUUUCCUUAUGAGAAGGAAGGACUGGUGGUGGUUUCGAUACGCAUCUUUACGUAGCGCUGGCAGUAAGCCUACUGUAGGUCACCCAGCAGGUUUGGGUUUGAACUUCAGAAUGUCUGGAAAUGACCUUCCAGCAAGCACUAUUCAUAAAUUACAAAGAUUACUGUAUUUUAGCCAUCUUAGGCACAUAGGCUUUCAUAAGUAAGUGUAAGAACUUUAAUGCAACACAACUCAAUUUAGAAUAAUACAUUAUUUUUCAUCUGACACCACUAAAGGUGACAUUGCUACAGGAAAGAGCUGAAACACUGAUUCUUGCCUUAUUGCCCUGUUCAGUCUUCUGAAGACUGAUUUUAAUAAGAAGUGUAUCUGCAAAAAACACAGGUUGCUAUGCUAGCUAUCAGGGAAAGGGGAGAAGGGACAAGUCUUCUAAUAGCUCCUUUUACAGCUGAAGAGUAGCUGCUGGCUGAUGGGUGGAACACAGGGUCAAUGCAAGAAGCAUCCAUAUUAAAAACCGAAGAAAAAGCAGAUCAGCAAAUUAUUCGUGACACAUUUCUGCUGUAGGUGACAGGUAAGAAAACAGCACUGUGGAUUUCUGAUGACUGUAAAGCCUUGCCUUCCCAUCCCCAAGCCAGGCAUCCCAAUUGUGGUCAGAACAGUUAAGUCGUGGGGCUUUUUGUUUGUUUGCUUUCACACAGAUUAGCUUCAGGUGUUAGUUUCUGUACUUUGGAUGUUUCAAUUUUUAUUACACAAAUUAAAACACUUAAAUUUGCUGGCUGUCCAAAGCCCUCAGUACUGGAAAUCCAGACAAUGGUACCUCAGCUUGUACUCAAGUAUGAAAGCAUUCCACUUAAGAAAAUGUAAAUGAUCUCUCACUGAUGCCUCCCACAUUAUCCCACCUUUAUCUCAACAUGAACUAUUCUAUCAGAGAGCCUGCAGGAAGAAAUCUAGACUUGCUGUCUGGAUUUUUCUCGCAGUAACAGUUUAAAUAGGUGAUGAAAAUGCAGUCUUAGAGGCCUGAUCCUGGAGAAGGCAUGACUUUCUCAACACAAAAUACUUAUGAAGAAUUAUAGCUGUAUGGAGAACAUAAUUAAACCCCCCAACAUGAAUUUUCAAGCACAAUUUUGUGUCGCCCCAUAGUACGAAAGAUACAGAUUUAAUCUCUGCUCACUGAUGCUUUCAAACACGCAGACAGUAUCUCACAGUCAAACCGAUCUCAACAGAUUACUUGCAUGGAUUUUACCAACUUACAGAAAUUGUAAUUAUGCUUUUCCUGAUGUUUUUAUUAGGUUGACUGGUUAAUACUUUUAACUUGCUCUUGAUUUUGUUCUAACGCUUGAAAUCAGCAACUCUGUUUCCUGUAAACAGCUUGCAAAGCAAACACAGAAAGCUACAUGAGGCUGUUUGCUUUUGCACUGGGAGCGGCAGAACAGCAAACAACGCUGAACACAGAAUGUUAACAGUCUCCCAGAAGUGGUUUCAGAACAAAUGGUAAAAAUGUACGCAGGCACAGAGAGCUGUGGUCACCUCUCAAAGAGAGGCCAUCCCUCACAUCACCUGCAGAAACACUGAGAAGAAAAUUACUCAAAACAAUCCUUUAAAGUUAAGAGUAAUGGAAGCGGCCAGUGUCACACCAUUGAAAAUGUCCUACAUUACCCUUAACUGAAAGUGCAGAUUGCUCAUAGUAAAAGGACAAUUUAUCCAGUUAUUUUUGUCAAAAAGCAAAUGAAGCCUUUAAGCAACGUUUCCUCUUUGUAGUUCAGUUUGUACUUAUAUUUUUGUCAGAAAUAUUACUCAUACUUUGGUGACAGCUUUACUUUUGUAGACUGAGCAAUAUCAUUUCAAUGCUAGCUAAAGGAGUACAAAACAAAGUGCUAAAUUUUUCAGAAAUUCAGAAUAUAUUCUCAGGAAAGUAUGGAACUUUUAAUACAUUCUUGUUUAUAGCAGAAAUGCUGAGUUGUGGCCUGAAGCAGUGAUGGAGCACCUGGUGGGAAGGCAGGGCAGCCCAGGGAGCUCAGGUGCAUGCAAUGCAAUGCAAUGCAAUGCACUGAGUGAUGGAAGGGUGGAACCAGGAUCCACCCCUUCCCCGCCCUCAUUUAAGGGCUGGCAGUGGAGGUGAGGGUCUCACUGGAAUUCCCUGCAUACCUGAGGCCUUCUGAAGGAAACAGAAAGUUCAUGUUACAGCCAAGGAAGUCAGCAGUGGAGGAAAGCAUUUGUCUCAGUGCCACCUGGUUAUGCACAGCAUGUGUCUGAAAGGUCUGUGGGUGGCUGACAAGUAGAAGAGUUGGAGGGAGAAAUGAGUUCAUGGUGGAUGGAAAUGGAGCAUUCAUGGUCAACGAAGUCUAGAAGAAUUGGGCUUAAGUGGGGCUCAAGAGGAAUCCAGUUGUUUAUAACAUAGAAGGAUGCUGAGUAUGAAAGGAAAGUUUGCAUAGAUCUUCCUUGUAUGAGAGGCAAUGGAAAAAGAACCGUGGAAGAAAAGGGUUCUCCACUAAUUGUUUUCUGAAGUCAGAGAAUAACAAGAAUUUUCUGAUAACGGUGCAAGAUUUGAGCGCUGCAGCCCCUUCCCCCCAUAGAAAUAAAUGUGGGGAAAAGGGGGAGGAAAAAAAUAACCAGAUACCUGAUUAGAGAAGGCUAAGAAGACUUUUUUGUUUUGUUUUAACACAUCAAAACAAACUGCAAAGUCCUCCAAGUUACAGGUGGCAUUUAAAGGAAGCAGUUCUCUCUGCUCUGGUUUGGAACUGCUGCUUUUUAUUAGGAGAGCCAUCGUUCUUGGAGAGAUGCAGUGAAAAUGUGGCCCUGUUUAAAAUGGUUCUGAAGAUUCUAGACCUUCUUUUCCCAGACCUUUCCUAACAGAACUGCAGCCAUGGAAUCACUCUGGGGUUUUGUAAGAUCAGGAGAUCCUUCAAGAAGGCGUCCUGUCAUUCUGGCUGCUCUUAUGGCACUUUGUAAUGGCACAGCUCCUGUCCCUCUGGCACCAUUUGCACAGCAGGACUUUCAAGUUUGAGGAAUCCAAAACAAACAUUUUGUUUACAAGAAAUAUAAGACACACAACCAGUGAAAUAGUAUCAAGAUGCUGUCUGUUCCUCAACUAACAGAACGUAAUUAUUUCUAUUUACUGCAUGCGUGGACACAGAAAGCACAGGAAUGCCUUCACACGUGUUUUAUUUUCGGAGAGGUCAUUCAGAUUGAACGUCACUGUUUUGAUUGUAGGGCCAUACGUGGUGAACUCCUGCGAGUGUUAGAAAGCAAAGCAAAGAGUGAGCUUCAGAUUCCACCAGUAAUGUUUUGACAGGAUGAGUAAAACACAUCAGAAAUGUACAGAAAGGGGAAAAUGCAAAAGAAACAAUGAAAAUUACAUGUACUGAAUGCUUUUAGAAUGAAAAAAGGUUUUCUCUGAUUUUUUCCGGGUGUGAGCUUUAUGUGAAAUAACGCUUUCAGUAUUUACUUCCUAAUCACAUUACGUAUUUCAUUGGCACCUGCAUGUGUAAUAUUGCUGGGUCUGGAUGAUGUUACAGAUUGACACACCUCAGGCUGAUGGCACUGAGGGACAACAUCCCCUACGGAAGGGCUUCAGUAUUGAUUAAAUGCCCACAGUGUUGCUUCCCCCAGUUAGAGAGCUGUUCUGUCAACAUAUGUUGUCAUUCUGUGAAUGGUUAUAAAGCUGCUAGGUGCUGAUAAACAUAUAUUGACAUCAGCAGUGGACAUGCAGUGCCAGUAAUUAGCUCUGUCGCUUUUGUUUGUACAAAUUUAAAGCAAUGGGAAUUGCUUUCUUGUAUAAGCCACUGAAUUCCUACCUAUCCUAACACAAUCACUGCAAGCAAACUUCCCUGUUGUCCCCAGGCCCUCGGUCUGUGUUAACUCACAAACCACAUCCAGAAGUGGUUUGGGAAUGUGUGUUUCAGGUUGGGCCAACAGUGCCAACGGCCAUUCUGACAACUUUCAAGCUCCAGCAUCUGGGAGCACUUCUCCCAUCCCAGCUGCUUAACUGGCUACUGGAAAUGUGCUGCUGUGCCAGAAUGGACCUCUGGAGAUCAUCUCGUCCAACCCCGGGUGCUUCUGUUCUAUAGGGUGUUUCUUCCUCUUACCACCUUUCUGCUUUUCCUUCCCAGCAGCGUGCUAAGGAAGAUGUCUGCUGGCAUAUGGAGCGGAUGAAUCACGAGAAUAGAAUGGACAAAUCAUGGAACUGUUUUAGGAUAGAGAGCCCUGUGUUCCGAGGAUCCAGGGGAGGAGAAGGGCGUACAUGGAAAAUGUGCAUACACACAGCAGUUCUCAUUUAGGAGGAAGUGGAAAAAAACCCAGCAAGAAUGCCCUCAGCAGCUCCCCGCCCUGCAGCCCAGCCCCGCAGAUCUAUUUUCAGUAGCUGCAUUGAGACACGGCAGGCAGUCAUAGCGCAGAUUGGCGGCACUGCGGAAACACGGCACGGCUCAGCAGAGCUCACAGCUCCACAAUCGCAGCUGCUCUGUGUGUGAAACUGCUGGGAACGGUGAAGAAACGCCGUGUGGCUCCGUGCCUUCGGUGGCUGGAAGCACGCAGCUCAAGGACCUUUUCUCUACUAGACCAGGCGGUCUCUGGAAGUUUUUCAGUCCCUGUGCUGCCACAGUGGCUUGUUGUUAGCAGAAGUAUCUGACCAGUUUCUAGACACGAAUGCCUCAGAAUCAGUGAAAAGUUUUGCAGUGGAAAUUUCUCUGGUAAUUGCUUGGUUUAACAUGGGGCAUGCUUAGCUGGCCCUCCCAGCACUGCACAGGGCUCAGCUCCUUCCUCCUAAGGGUUUGUGUUCGACAGACAUAAACCUUUUCUCCCCUCUCCCCACUGGAAACAAUCUAAUGAAAUAAUUUUUAGUUGAUUUUUUUUCCUCUCCUCAGCAUUAUAGAGAAGAAUACAGGGAAGGACAAUUGUUUUGUCCUUACUAGAGGCUGGAUUCUGAGAGCAAACAAAACCUGACCUUGCUUCCAGAGCUCACUCUUUACACAGCUGAGUGCUGCUGCCUUCAAAGCAGUGCCAUUCCAGGCUGCAAUGUCCCGAGCACUUUUUCAGAACAGGGAGCCUGGCAACUCCCUGUUCAGCAGAUUGGUAAUGCCAAGAUAUUUUACACCACAGCUUUUCAACCUGGGCCAUUCUAUGAUUCUAUGAUCAGUUCAAAUGGUUGUAAUAUUUUGUUGAACUUCAGAAGUUACACAGUUAAAAAAGCUAUUCAGAAAUCAGUUUUUAUGUUAAUUUUCAAAUGAUGUCUGACUAAGGAAAACGUCACAAAAAUGGCGGGGGCUGAACCCCAGGGCAGUAUUGCUGGUCGUACAGCACAGCCAGAUCCGAAAACAAGCAGAGUCAGAGAAACAAAGGAUUUCUGCCCAACAGAACCAGUAACUUCUAAUUGCCCUAAUUGUCAGCUAACUUCACAAUCUUAUUAUCUGCCGAGGUGCACAGAGACACUGAAACAAAACCUCUGUCUCAACCCAACUAGACAUGACAAAAUAAGAAAAAAAGCUGAGGAAGUCGUUCACAUGGCAUCAUCUGGCUGCACAGGCAGUAACACAGCCCAGGCCUCCUCACUGUUGAUGUAGUGUCCUAUAUUCUAGUGACACACUAGCUCUCGUGAACAGAAUAAUUAACUGGAAGAGAACAGAAGGCACGUGAUUAGAUCCUACAGCUUUCUAUUAUUUAGGAUGAAUGGAAAUGAAGGGAACACUUUUAAACAGGGCAACUGGAAACAUCUUCUUAUGCAGCCAAUAUUAGAGUUGGCACAAUCGUCUGAAAAAAGAGCUGAAGAGGAAUGUAUUCUGAUCGCUGGCAUCACUGAGCCAUCAUAUGAUCUGACAUGAAAGUUGCUGUGUGCUCUUUGCCACAAGAAACCAAUGCUUUUUAACCAAGCUGGCAGAAAGGAGCUGCCUGAAGAGGAGCAAGCUUUAUAUGUCCACAAGUUGUGCAUAAGUAUUGUAUCUUCCUCAGUUUCUGAUAGCCAUACAAACAACGUUAAUCUUCAAAACAAAUGACAGCCAUUGUAAAAGUGCCUUCCUGUAAGUGUGCAGCUUUGCUUUUCACAUGAAGACGCACCUCGCAGCACAAUGGCUCAGCAGGUACGGCGCUGCUGAACAAUGCUCAGACUGCUGGAGUUUCAAGCUUACAUCCUGCAGCCACUUUGCCAAGAGUGGGUAACAAUGUAUUCAGCUAGAAAUCCAAAAUCACAACAUGAACGCAGAAAAGUCGGUCUAAUGUUAAUUGUAUGACUAGCACAUAGCUAUUCAUAGCUAACCUCUGCAUAGACACCAACAGUGUUGCUCAUAUUGUUCACUCAGAAAAGAUGGCUUUUUUUUUAAAGUAUUUUGUGUUGCUACACUAAAUCUGCAAACCUUCUUGAGGAGAUUCAGGAAGCCCUAUAGAAAGCAUAUCAUAACGUGCUCUCUUUUGUACAUUAUUACAUCUCAUUCCCUGCUUUCGGUGUUGAAAUCCACAAAAAAAGCUUUCAAAAGGGCUGGACUCAACACAUCUCAUGUAAAGCCACCUCAGUCGUACAUUAGCUUCAUAUUGUUUUAAAACAGGUCUAGCAGAAUGAGAGAAAAUCAGGAUGACUGUUCAUUCAAAAAGGCCAAUUCUUAUGACUAGUUAUUAGUCAGCUUUAUGUCUCUCCCAUCAGUAUGCUUUGAAUACAAAUAUUUCCAGUUUAUGAAUAUGUUGCCCGGGAGAGAAUACAAGUAAGGUCAAGAUAGAUAAUUUGUGCUAAGCUGGAGUUGGGCUUUACAAACACACGACCUCCUGGGGCCCCUCUACCCCCAAAUUUGGAUUUAUACUGCAGUGAUUCAAAGCAGCUCCUUCCCUGCAGCGUGCCAUGGGUGAACUGCAAUUCUCCUAAGGCAGUCGAAUGGCAAGGCUUUUUUAAACACAGAAAUGGGGAAGUCAAGGUUUUAAACUGAGUGGAUCAGAAACAUCCCGAUGAAGCAAGCUUACCGAGUCAGCUCUACACGGCUCUGCUCAAUCAGAACAGCACUGUGCCCCAUGGAACAAGCAAGUCACACACUUGGGGUGGAAAUGAAAACUUCUGGGUAAAAUUUACAUUCGUGUAGAGAAAUAAGUCUUUAAAAUGCAAGGUUAUCAACACCUGUGAAUUGCCAAGAAUUCCAGAAGGCUCACCACAGAGGGCUGACACACCAGCUUUGGGCACAGCCCUCGGAGCACACGGGCAGAACAACGGGCCCAUAGCUCAGCACUUCCAUCCUCUGCCCCCUUUCCCCUGCUCUGCACGUGUCACCGCCCGCUGCCAGCCUUCCUCGCCACGCAGCAGGGAAAAUGCAGUGCGGUGACACAGCGAGGAGCGCCGCUACCGCAGGUCACAGAGCGACGCAUCUGCGGAGGCCGCGAUGCCCCAGCAGCACGGCGGUGCAGGGGCUCCCGGGGCAGGGCAGUGCCCAGCAACCCGCCCAGCUCCUCCUGACUCACUGCCCCGCGCCCUCGGGCUUCGUUUGGCACGUGCCAUUCCUAUCGUGCGCUAAAGUGAUUCUUUGGGUAUUACAUAAAGAGUAAAUGUCAGCCUUCGUUUUGGUGUGAGCACAUAUUUGUGGGUUAUGCUGUUUAUUCAGUCAGGUUAGCUAAAAAAUGUGGAGGUAUUCACUUUCCCAUGUUGUUGCCAACAAAAAGGAUGACUAAGAUAAACAUACAAAGGCGUUACUUUUAGCCACUCGAUGCCUUCUGUGGGUGUAUUUUGGAGCUACGUAUAACACGGGUUACUUUGUAUGUAAUAAAGCCGGUGGAUUAUCAUUGUAAGAAAAAAGAAAUGGCAAACACACCAAGCCAGGCACUCAAUUUCAUUUUCUGCUA